GAUGAAGAACGUAGCGAAAUGCGAUAAGUAAUGUGAAUUGCAGAAUUCAGUGAAUCAUCGAAUCUUUGAACGCACAUUGCGCCCCUUGGUAUUCCGAGGGGCAUGCCUGUUCGAGCGUCAUUACACCACUCAAGCACUGCUUGGUAUUGGGCACUCGUCCGUCGAAAGACGGGCGUGCCUCGAAGACCUCGGCGGGGUUUCUCCAACUUCGGGCGUAGUAGAGUUAAAUCAAAACGUCUUAUAAGCUUUGUGAGAUCUCAUUGCCGUUAAACCUUUUUUUUUCAGGUUGACCUCGGAUCAGGUAGGGAUACCCGCUGAACUUAAGCAUAUCAAUAAGCGGAGGA
rnacentral:misc_RNA from 1 species